AGAGUUUAAAUAGUGAGCAGGUGAUAUUGAGGGCAGGUGAGCUGAUUACUGCAAUGUGAGUCACCUGCAGUAAUCAGCUGAGUGCAGACAGGUGAAGCAGGGAGAGCAAGAGACAGGGACGAGGAGAGAUGACAGACAGAGUCAAGUUGCUUCACCUGCCUGCACUCCAUUUGCUGAUUACUGUAAUGAGUGUCACCUGCAGUAAUUAGUUCACUCCAUUGACUGUUCUGUACCUCACCUCCAGUAUUUAAGCUCUGUGCUUCCAGUCACUCAUUGCCAGAUCAUCGGCUCACAUCCCUCCAUGGCUUGUGCUGUGUUCCUGGAUUGUGGGUUUCCCCACCAAGCCUUCUAUCUUCUGCUGUGUUCCUGGAUUGUGGGUUUCCCCACCAAGCCUUCUACCUCUUGUCAGCUUCAGUCUCUUGGACUCAACUGAUUUUGCUGUCCUGGAUUUCUCUCUUGUGGGACUCUGUUCAACUCUUGUCUGUUUUUGGAUGCUCCCCAGUCUUCAGCCUGCCAGUUUUGUUUCCCCACUAGCUUCUGGGUUGUCCUAGCCUUUAGCUCUGUUUUCCCCUGGUUUUUGUAAGUACAUUGCUGUGUUGUUUGGUUCAGGUUAUUACUGUUUGGUUUUGUGGUUUUUGUAGGUUUGGUAGUGUAAUUUCUUUUAGUGUUGGUUGUGGUUUAGUUUGUCUGCUGGGGUCCAUUUCACGAAGCAGGUUCAACAAACUGUUGUUGGUUAAAUCAAGUCGGAGUAGUUUUCCCCGGAGUUAAGCACGUGCACCACAACUCUAACAAGCCAGUAUCAAUGGAGCGCCGAUUCGACGAGUCACCAUGGCAACGGGUAAGCAGAGGACGACACCGUUUGAAUUGGAAAUCUUCAUGUGCUUAUAUAGCGAGUUUGAACACGUUUUUAGAAAGAAGUGCAACACCGCUGCAGCUGCAAAUGAGGGGGAAACGGUGUGGGAGAACAUUGCUGCCCGAGUCAAUGUGUAAGUUGAAACCACAAUAAUAUUGCAGGGAAAACUGUUUAAUGGUAACCUGUUGUGUUAUUUCAUUUAGGUGCAAGAGGGAGACGGCCUGGGAGAGCAUUGCUGCCUGAGUCAAUGUGUGCAAUCCUGUGGGAGAGAAGCGUAUGUGGCAAACAGGCUGGGGACCUGGAACCUUUGACUGAAUUUUAAGUAACUAUACACCGGUUUCCGCACCAUCUUUCUAUCGGGACAGCGUAGCGGCCUAUUUACCUAUGGCACUGCUAGACAUCUACUACUAACUAUGUAGACAUACAUCAUGCACUGAACUACUGCCAAUGCUCAACCAUGUGUUCAAAGAAAAGUUCCUCAACAACUUCCAAUGCAAACUCUCAACAAAAAUAUUACAUAAACACAAUAACUAACUGUCCAACUUACAUGCCUCAACCAUUCUACUUUUAAUUACAUUACUCUUUAUUGAUAUGGAACUUAUCUAUCUGGAGGAACUAUCUGCCUGUGGCACGGAUAGCUAGACAUCUACUAGUAAUUAUGA